rnacentral:lncRNA from 1 species
GCGCCGGCUGGGCGUGUGCGCACCGAGGUGCAGCAAGUGCGUCCCGACCGCGACGGCGCCGCCACCCGAGGCUCGGCCAGCCCGGCAUCCGUGCGCACCCGGGCGCGCGGCGGGGCCCGCGGAGCCGUAGGGUGCUACCGCUCUCCGCGGCCCUCGGAGGGCCCGGGGCUUCCUCUGUGGAGGCAGCUCGGCUUAAUGUCAGUGGCCCAAGGACAGAAGACCCCUCCCUGCCCUCAUGAGACUCAGUCGGGGCUGUAGGGUAACCACAGACCCCCGCAAUAAAGAUCAGGUGCUUAUUGUCUCUCAACUGGAACGUCAGCUUCCCGAGGGCAGCAAUGUUGUUUGCUGCUGUGUCCUUGGGGCCUAGAACCUCAGCGGCACACACCAAGUGUUCCUUAAAUAUUGCUCAAGUGAAUGAAUGAAUGAAUGGAGAGAGUGAGAAACUCCACCAGGAGUCAGGAGCUAGAAGGAGCAUGGAGAGAUGGUGAACUGUGGAGGAGAAGGGAGGUCUGAGUGGACCUCUGAGAGGGGCCAGGUCUUGGCACGGCCUGGGGCACAGAGCCUUGCUCAUCUGCCUUCCCCAAACCUGCCAUCCCCAUCUGCCGCCGGGAUCCUCCUGCAGCCCCCGCCCAGGAAGUCAGACUACCCUGAGAUUGCCCAGCUGGGGAGGCCACGUGGAGCUGGUCUCACCCACAGCCCCAGCGCCACCUGCCAGCCGUGGGAGGAGCCGCCUUGCACGUCCAGCCCAGCGGAGCCUUUCAGAUGACUCCAGCCCCAGCCAACAUCUGAUGGCAAUCACACGAGACCCCAAGUGAGAACCGCCCAGCCAGGCCCUUCCCGAAUUCCUGACCCACAAACCUUUGAGCCAAAUAAAAUGGCUGUUGUUUCACAUUGCUGAGUUUUGGAUAAUUUGUUAUGCAGCAACAGUAAUUGGAACAUUGGCCCCAAACCUUUCCUGAUCCUUGUUGGUCCCCUUCCCACCCUGUCUGCCACACUGAAC